rnacentral:rRNA from 1 species
AAAUUGAAGAGUUUGAUCAUGGCUCAGAUUGAACGCUGGCGGCAGGCCUAACACAUGCAAGUCGAGCGGUAACACAGGGAGCUUGCUCCUGGGUGACGAGCGGCGGACGGGUGAGUAAUGUCUGGGAAACUGCCUGAUGGAGGGGGAUAACUACUGGAAACGGUAGCUAAUACCGCAUAACGUCGCAAGACCAAAGAGGGGGACCUUCGGGCCUCUUGCCAUCAGAUGUGCCCAGAUGGGAUUAGCUAGUAGGUGGGGUAACGGCUCACCUAGGCGACGAUCCCUAGCUGGUCUGAGAGGAUGACCAGCCACACUGGAACUGAGACACGGUCCAGACUCCUACGGGAGGCAGCAGUGGGGAAUAUUGCACAAUGGGCGCAAGCCUGAUGCAGCCAUGCCGCGUGUAUGAAGAAGGCCUUCGGGUUGUAAAGUACUUUCAGCGGGGAGGAAGG